rnacentral:rRNA from 1 species
UCCAGACUCCUACGGGAGGCAGCAGUGGGGGAUAUUGCACAAUGGGGGGAACCCUGAUGCAGCGACGCCGCGUGGGUGAAGGAGUAUUUCGGUAUGUAAAGCCCUAUCGGCAGGGAAGAAGCAAGACGGUACCUGACUAAGAAGCCCCGGCUAACUACGUGCCAGCAGCCGCGGUAAUACGUAGGGGGCGAGCGUUAUCCGGAUUCACUGGGGGUAAAGGGAGCGUAGACGGCCAUGCAAGCCAGGGGUGAAAGCCCGGGGCCCAACCCCGGGACUGCCCUUGGAACUGCAUGGCUGGAGUGCGGGAGGGGCAGGCGGAAUUCCUAGUGUAGCGGUGAAAUGCGUAAAUAUUCGGAGGAACACCAGUGGCGAAGGCGGCCUGCUGGGCUUUAACUGACGCUGAGGCUCGAAGGCGUGGGUAGCAAACAGGAUUAGAUACCCCUGUAA